rnacentral:rRNA from 1 species
CCUUAGUAGCGGCGAGCGAAACGGGAAGAGCCCAAACCAACAAGCUUGCUUGUUGGGGUUGUAGGACACUCUAUACGGAGUUACAAAGGACGACAUUAGACGAAUCAUCUGGAAAGAUGAAUCAAAGAAGGUAAUAAUCCUGUAGUCGAAAAUGUUGUCUCUCUUGAGUGGAUCCUGAGUACGACGGAGCACGUGAAAUUCCGUCGGAAUCUGGGAGGACCAUCUCCUAAGGCUAAAUACUCUCUAGUGACCGAUAGUGAACCAGUACCGUGAGGGAAAGGUGAAAAGCACCCCGGAAGGGGAGUGAAAUAGAACCUGAAACCGUGUGCUUACAAGUAGUCAGAGCCCGUUAAUGGGUGAUGGCGUGCCUUUUGUAGAAUGAACCGGCGAGUUACGAUUUGAUGCAAGGUUAAGCAGUAAAUGUGGAGCCGUAGCGAAAGCGAGUCUGAAUAGGGCGUUUAGUAUUUGGUCGUAGACCCGAAACCAGGUGAUCUACCCUUGGUCAGGUUGAAGUUCAGGUAACACUGAAUGGAGGACCGAACCGACUUACGUUGAAAAGUGAGCGGAUGAACUGAGGGUAGCGGAGAAAUUCCAAUCGAACCUGGAGAUAGCUGGUUCUCUCCGAAAUAGCUUUAGGGCUAGCCUCAAGUGAUGAUUAUUGGAGGUAGAGCACUGUUUGGACGAGGGGCCCCUCUCGGGUUACCGAAUUCAGACAAACUCCGAAUGCCAAUUAAUUUAACUUGGGAGUCAGAACAUGGGUGAUAAGGUCCGUGUUCGAAAGGGAAACAGCCCAGACCACCAGCUAAGGUCCCAAAAUAUAUGUUAAGUGGAAAAGGAUGUGGCGUUGCCCAGACAACUAGGAUGUUGGCUUAGAAGCAGCCAUCAUUUAAAGAGUGCGUAAUAGCUCACUAGUCGAGUGACACUGCGCCGAAAAUGUACCGGGGCUAAACAUAUUACCGAAGCUGUGGAUUGUCCUUUGGACAAUGGUAGGAGAGCGUUCUAAGGGCGUUGAAGCAUGAUCGUAAGGACAUGUGGAGCGCUUAGAAGUGAGAAUGCCGGUGUGAGUAGCGAAAGACGGGUGAGAAUCCCGUCCACCGAUUGACUAAGGUUUCCAGAGGAAGGCUCGUCCGCUCUGGGUUAGUCGGGUCCUAAGCUGAGGCCGACAGGCGUAGGCGAUGGAUAACAGGUUGAUAUUCCUGUACCACCUAUA